UAUGUUAAUAAGCAUUAAAUUACAUGUGUUUUAAAUGCUUUAUUAUAAUUGUGAUGAUACAACUCCAGAAAAAUAUUCAACGAAGUUUCGAUGACGUAAGGAUCCCGGUUGAACCUUAAGAAUAGAUAAGAUACAAAUAACAUGUCAUUAUGGGUUACCGUGUUUUGGGUACUGGUCUUGUACGUCCUACCAUUGGCUGCGUUUUUGACAUGUGUUGCGGUUACUUUACAGCUUGUGUGAGCAGCACUGUGUAGCUACAUCUUGAUUGGCAGCUUGUGUAAGCAGACCCAGUGAUGGCUCGAGAGUGAGCAUCUAUAUGAGAUGUGAGAUAGAUGUGGUUUUAACCAUGUAUUUGCACUUAGUGUGCGAGAUACCCGGGUAUCUAAUAGUAUUCCAAAUGGUUCAACGGGCACAAUGACGAUUUUGGAAGUUGGUUACGAGCUCGGGGACCGUCAGCAAAGUCUAUCACACUAUCGACAUCUUUUGGGUACUUUGAUAAAAAAAAUUAAACUCGAUAUUAUGGCAUGUAUAGGCUUGCUUAUGUUUUUGGUUAGUUUUGGAACAGGUAUAUAAAUGGCCAUGCGAAAAUGGCUCAUUUUAUUUUGAUCGAGUUUGGUGUUUAUGCAUAUGGUCUUAAUGGUCAUGGAAAUGGGGUUUAUAAUUAUUCAUAUUGAAUUAUGGUAUAAGUUUGUGAUAUGAUAAUAAAUGUGAUAUAUAUA